AUAGCGAACAAGUAGUGUGAACGAACGCUGAAAAGCACCCCACGAAGGGAGGUGCAAUAGGGCGUGAAAUCAGUUGGCGAUCGAACGACGGGGCUCAAAAGGUCCUGUACACAAUGAACUGGGUGUGAACCCGUAGUAAGCCGUACAGGAAGCCGGAGUUCCGUCGUGCGUUUUGAAAAACGAACCAGGGAGUGUGCCUGUUUGACGAGUCUAACCCGAUUAUCGGGGAAGGCGUAGGGAAACCGAUAUGGCCGCAGUCUUUCGACGAGGGCCACCGUGUUCAAGCGCGGGGAGUCAAACGGGCACGACCCGAAACCGGACGAUCUAGACAUGGACAAGGUGAAGCGUGCCGAAAGGCACGUGGAGGCCUGUUAGCGUUGGUG
rnacentral:ncRNA from 1 species